rnacentral:rRNA from 1 species
AAACUAAGAUGAUAAUAAAGAAUGCUUCUUAAAUAUCUGUUUAAUUUUGAAAGACUAAGUUCUUUCAAAAUUAUGUUCUUUGAAAAUUACACAUAAGUAUUAAUAAAUAGAGUAAAGCCAAUUAAAUUUACUAUUCUUUGUAAAAUUGAUUGCAACUAUCUAAAAGAUAGAAACAAAGGUCAAGCUACAAAGGGCGUAUGGUGAAUGCCUUGGCAUCAGGAGCCGAUGAAGGACGUGAUAAGCUGCGAUAAGCUUUGGGUAGACGCACAUAGUCUGAGAUCCAAAGAUUUCCGAAUGAGGAAACUCACAUGGGAAACCCCAUGUAUCGUUAACUGAAUAAAUAGGUUAACGAGGGUAAACCUAGGGAACUGAAACAUCUAAGUACCUAGAGGAAGAGAAAGAAAAAUCGAUUUUCUAAGUAGCGGCGAGCGAAAGGGAAAGAGCCCAAACCGGAAACUUGUUUCCGGGGUUGUGGAUAGAACAUAACGAGAAACUAUAACUAAUUGAAGAGAGCUGGAAANUGAGAUGUUGGGUUAAGUCCCGCAACGAGCGCAACCCUUAUUGUUAGUUGGUACCAUUAAGUUGACCACUCUAGCGAGACUGCCCGGGUUAACCGGGAGGAAGGUGGGGAUGACGUCAAAUCAUCAUGCCCCUUAUGUCUAGGGCUACACACGUGCUACAAUGGCAAGUACAAAGAGAAGCAAUACUGUGAAGUGGAGCAAAACUCAAAAACUUGUCUCAGUUCGGAUUGUAGGCUGAAACUCGCCUACAUGAAGCUGGAGUUGCUAGUAAUCGCGAAUCAGAAUGUCGCGGUGAAUACGUUCCCGGGUCUUGUACACACCGCCCGUCACACCAUGAGAGUUGGCAAUACCCGAAGUCCGUAAGCUAACCGUAAGGAGGCAGCGGCCGAAGGUAGGGUCAGCGAUUGGGGUGAAGUCGUAACAAGGUAGCCGUAGGAGAACCUGCGGCUG